rnacentral:rRNA from 1 species
AGAGUUUGAUCCUGGCUCAGAACGAACGCUAGCGGUGCGUUUUAAGCAUGCAAGUCGAACGGGAUUAUUAUUCUAUUUUAUAGAACAAUAUGAGAGUGGCGAACGGGUGAGUAACACGUAGGUAAUCUGCCUAUCAAAUCGGGAUAGCCAGUGGAAACAUUGGGUAAUACUGGAUACGUAUUAUGUAAGGGAUUAUAUAAUAGAAAGGGUACUUUUGUGCCGUUGAUAGAGGAGCCUGCGCUUGAUUAGCUAGUUGGUAAGGUAAUGGCUUACCAAGGCGACGAUCAAUAGCCGGCCUGAGAGGGUGAUCGGCCACACUGGGACUGAGACACGGCCCAGACUCCUACGGGAGGCAGCAGUGGGGAAUAUUGGACAAUGGGGGCAACCCUGAUCCAGCCAUGCCGCGUGUGUGAAGAAGGCCUUUUGGUUGUAAAGCACUUUAAGCAGGGAGGAGAGGCUAAUGGUUAAUACCCAUUAGAUUAGACGUUACCUGCAGAAUAAGCACCGGCUAACUCUGUGCCAGCAGCCGCGGUAAUACAGAGGGUGCGAGCGUUAAUCGGAAUUACUGGGCGUAAAGCGAGUGUAGGUGGCUCAUUAAGUCACAUGUGAAAUCCCCGGGCUUAACCUGGGAACUGCAUGUGAUACUGGUGGUGCUAGAAUAUGUGAGAGGGAAGUAGAAUUCCAGGUGUAGCGGUGAAAUGCGUAGAGAUCUGGAGGAAUACCGAUGGCGAAGGCAGCUUCCUGGCAUAAUAUUGACACUGAGAUUCGAAAGCGUGGGUAGCAAACAGGAUUAGAUACCCUGGUAGUCCACGCCGUAAACGAUGUCUACUAGCCGUUGGGGUCCUUGAGACUUUAGUGGCGCAGUUAACGCGAUAAGUAGACCGCCUGGGGAGUACGGCCGCAAGGUUAAAACUCAAAUGAAUUGACG